rnacentral:rRNA from 1 species
UACGUAGGUGGCGAGCGUUGUCCGGAAUUACUGGGUGUAAAGCGCGUGUAGGCGGGAGGCCAAGUCUGUGGUGAAAUCGCUCGGCUUAACUGGGCGGGGUCCAUGGAAACUGGUCACCUGGAGGUCGGUAGAGGCAAGUGGAAUUCCCGGUGUAGUGGUGAAAUGCGUAGAGAUCGGGAGGAGCACCAGUGGCGAAGGCGGCUUGCUGGGCCGGACCUGACGCUGAGACGCGAAGGCGUGGGGAGCGAACGGG